AUUGAACGCUGGCGGCAGGCCUAACACAUGCAAGUCGAACGAGUGGCGGACGGGUGAGUAAUGUCUGGGAAACUGCCUGAUGGAGGGGGAUAACUACUGGAAACGGUAGCUAAUACCGCAUACCAUCAGAUGUGCCCAGAUGGGAUUAGCUUGUUGGUGGGGUAAAGGCUCACCAAGGCGACUAUCACUAGCUGGUCUGAGAGGAUGACCAGCCAACUUGGAACUGAGACCCGGUCCAGACUCCGACUGUAGGCAGCAUUGGGGAAGAUUGCACAAUGGGCGCAAGCCUGAUGCAGCCAUGCCGCGUGUAUGAAGAAGGCCUUCGGGUUGUAAAGUACUUUCAGCGGGGAGGCGUUACCCGCAGAAGAAGCACCGGCUAACUCCGUGCCAGCAGCCGCGGUAAUUC
rnacentral:rRNA from 1 species